rnacentral:lncRNA from 1 species
GAAAGGGGAAAAAAAUCCCCAAGUAUAACAAGAGACGAACAGUUAGUGCUGAUUUUCAUUUGCAUAAAUUUUCAUAUAUUUUAGUGAAAAUAAUAGCGGAGCCGAGGAGUGCUCUGCUCAGUUGAGGCAGAGGAAAGAAAUCUUAGGGAGCACCGACUCGUAGGAAAGGAGAUGGCCAUUAAUAGAUUACAAAUAUACAUGUAAAGCAUUUUUCGACUAUUCUUGGAUAUAAGGAGCACCAGGGUCCCCUCGCCACCCCUCCACUCCCGCCCCUUGGCCCCCAUGCCCCCCACCCUCUAACCCCCUCUUCCAGAGAGGGGAAGCCCUGCCAGUGGACAUCUGUGGAAAUGAGCUCGGCCGUGCAGAUGUCGGUGGGCGGAGCCGGGAGGGUCGUCAGCGAGAUGGGACACACCUGGGCUCGGGUGUGUCCCGGGGAUAAAUACACCUUUCCCCCAUUCAUUGAGGAGAAUCUCUCCACGCCCUGUUGUUUUUAGUUGUGGCAUUUUGGGGAUUCUUUGUGUUCAUUUGUUUUGGCACCUCUCAACACACAUCAUUAGCAUAAUUUGUGCACGCAUGCCCUCAGUCACACUACGGACUACACACACCAUUGUUACUGGGAUAUAGUUUACUUAAUUUAAUACAUAUGUUUGUUAUUUCUUUAUCGCCGCGUUAUCUCCCUCUCAGCUACGGGCUCGUAGCACGUAGCUGGGUCAUCUGAUGCGGCGCAGGAGCAGAUCGUUGGAGGAGCUGGGAGAAAGAGCGGGGAUCCGAUCAUCUCGCCUACUGAGGAAGGUCGUAGCUGAGGUCUGCAAUUCCUUGCCAGUACUUCAUCGGCAGUCUGUGACUGAUACUUCCAACUCUGAUCGGUGGACGGAGGGUCUGGAUGAUGUGUUCCCUGUGCUGAAUGUUAGUGCUGCGGCGGGGGCAUUAGAGGAGGAUGGAGGGUCUGUGCUGAGUCUAAAACUCUGGCACAUCUGUUUUUACAGUGUCCCAGGUUGGUCGGGAUGAUUGACGUGAUCGCUAGUUGGUUCUCAGCUCUGGGAGAGGUUUUCUCUUCCCAACUGUUUAUAUUUGGACCAAAGUACAGGUUUAGUCGAAGGGGUGUAGCUCUCUAACUUAACUUUGUGUCAGGGGCAGCUAAAUUAGCAAUUUGGAAGACACGAAGAACAGUAUUUGGGACAGGG